rnacentral:rRNA from 1 species
GCCAGUUGGUGCAUGGCCGUUCUUAGUUCGUGGAAUGAUUUGUCUGGUUAAUUCCGUUAACGAACGUGACUCAAAUACAUUAAAUAGAUUCCUAUCAGAUAAGUAAACUGUUGAUGCUUGCCUAUAGCAUUUAUUUGUUAUUGGGUAAGUGGAAGUUUACCUGAUAGUUUGUCAGCCGUCAAACGUUGACUUUGAUCUGCUUAAUGAGACAAAUUGUGUUUAGCAAAAUGAGAUUGAGCAAUAACAGGUCUGUGAUGCCCUU